rnacentral:rRNA from 1 species
AACGACUCUCGGCAACGGAUAUCUCGGCUCACGCAUCGAUGAAGAACGUAGCAAAAUGCGAUACUUGGUGUGAAUUGCAGAAUCCCGUGAGCCAUCGAGUUUUUGAACGCAAGUUGCGCCCGAAGCCAUCCGGUUCAGGGCACGCCUGCCUGGGCGUCACGC